ACUUAAGUAGUUUAGAAAGAAUAUUAGGUUGUGGUCCUAAAGGAAUACAAUAGUAUCUUAAGUC
rnacentral:tRNA from 1 species